GAUGAACGCUGGCGGCGUGCCUAAUACAUGCAAGUUGAGCGAAUGGAUUAAGAGCUUGCUCUUAUGAAGUUAGCGGCGGACGGGUGAGUAACACGUGGGUGACCUGCCCAUAAGACUGGGAUAACUCCGGGAAACCGGGGCUAAUACCGGAUAACAUUUUGAACCGCAUGGUUCGAAAUUGAAAGGCGGCUUCGGCUGUCACUUAUGGAUGGACCCGCGUCGCAUUAGCUAGUUGGUGAGGUAACGGCUCACCAAGGCAACGAUGCGUAGCCGACCUGAGAGGGUGAUCGGCCACACUGGGACUGAGACACGGCCCAGACUCCUACGGGAGGCGGCAGUAGGGAAUCUUCCGCAAUGGACGAAAGUCUGACGGAGCAACGCCGCGUGAGUGAUGAAGGCUUUCGGGUCGUAAAACUCUGUUGUUAGGGAAGAACAAGUGCUAGUUGAAUAAGCUGGCACCUUGACGGUACCUAACCAGAAAGCCACGGCUAACUACGUGCCAGCCGCCGCCGUAA
rnacentral:rRNA from 1 species